GGGCGUUAAGUUGCAGGGUAUAGACCCGAAACCCGGUGAUCUAGCCAUGGGCAGGUUGAAGGUUGGGUAACACUAACUGGAGGACCGAACCGACUAAUGUUGAAAAAUUAGCGGAUGACCUGUGGCUGGGGGUGAAAGGCCAAUCAAACCGGGAGAUAGCUGGUUCUCCCCGAAAGCUAUUUAGGUAGCGCCUCGUGAAUUCAUCUCCGGGGGUAGAGCACUGUUUCGGCUAGGGGGCCAUCCCGGCUUACCAACCCGAUGCAAACUGCGAAUACCGGAGAAUGUUAUCACGGGAGACACACGGCGGGUGCUAACGUCCGUCGUGAAGAGGGAAACAACCCAGACCGCCAGCUAAGGUCCCAAAGUCAUGGUUAAGUGGGAAACGAUGUGGGAAGGCCCAGACAGCCAGGAUGUUGGCUUAGAAGCAGCCAUCAUUUAAAGAAAGCGUAAUAGCUCACUGGUCGAGUCGGCCUGCGCGGAAGAUGUAACGGGGCUAAACCAUGCACCGAAGCUGCGGCAGCGAACGUAUCACCCAAGACAACUUUGCGGAGUUGACGAUUGACGGAGCGAAGCGACGUCAAAGCGUUCAUUAAAGUCGAGUUGGCUUAGGGAUACGUUCGUUGGGUAGGGGAGCGUUCUGUAAGCCUGUGAAGGUGGCCUGUGAGGGUUGCUGGAGGUAUCAGAAGUGCGAAUGCUGACAUAAGUAACGAUAAAGCGGGUGAAAAGCCCGCUCGCCGGAAGACCAA
rnacentral:rRNA from 1 species